rnacentral:sRNA from 1 species
GGACGAGCACAGCGGGUGGUAGGCAUCUCAUCCCGCUCUAAAGCCCCAGGCUACCCUGACUCUUGUACCGGGGUAGUCCGUCCCCCUUCCGCCGCAGCAUCGUUCGGCCUCCCCCUUCGGGGCGGAGGUGGAAGGGGGAAGCGGCCCCUCGAUGGCCGCGAGUUGGACCAGUCCGCCCCGUCCCAGCCCAGACCCCUCCUCCGGAAGCGGGAGCCCGGGAGUAGGGGGCGCUUGGCGGCGUGCAGGAAGGCCGGGGCUCGCAUGGGGUUCUACGGGGGUUCAGACUGCAGCCUGGUCUCCUUGCUCUGCAAUGCAGCGGGCUAAGGGCAAGUCUGACCCGCCCGUCACCGCGCUGUGCAAGUGGUGCUUGUCCUCUGACUGCGGUGGAUUGGGACUUUUUAAAAACAGAUUGCGAAGCCCCCACCCGCAGGGUUUAUAGUUGUUUCUGGUGCAGGACCCAGGAAUGUGCCUUUAUCACUAAGUCUCCGAGAUGAGGACCUUCAGAAGGUAUAUUCUCGGGGACAACAGAUGAAACUGUGCCUGCAUCCGGUUUGUGCCCUUUUCCUGUGUACCGGAGAAACCCUGACAUCAGGAUUUGUCCUUAAAAUCCCUUUCCUUGUCCGAACUUGUCUUUCCUACCAUACAUACUGGUAGAAACCGGUUACAUUAAUCACCUUCCUAGUGCUCUGACCGCUGCAUUUACCUACCAAUUUGAACGGGAAAUUAUGUCUUAGUCUUCACCCUUCUCGCUUCGUAAUGUUUAAUGUGUUUCUGGUCUCCUUAGAACCUUGCUCUGGGCAUUCCGGUUUCUCAAUAAAUAAUAGUCUUUGUGUUUCUGCUAUCCACUGUCCCUAUACUCAAACCUUUAAUCUUUCUUACUCAUACAUGGAAGGCGUCUCUGUUCACUGGGAUUUAACAUGUACUGUAUUCCGAGUUUUAGAUUUGCCUCUAAAGCAUUAAGCUGCGUUGUUGGACCUAGGCUCUCUAUUCAAGUUGGUAGAUAAAGGCAGCGGUCAUAGCACUGACCUAUCAGUAUCUUGCCUAUCAGCAAGAGCCUAACUUCUUAGGGCCAAUAGGACUGAGCUUUGGUGGGACAUAGGAAGGCAGUGGAACAUAGUGGGAAAUGAUGGGGGUCAGGGCUCCAAGUCCCCCACUCUACCUUUAUCCUCUAACCCUGAGUCCUCUCUGGCAUUUCUCUUGGAAGUUUCAUUUCAUAUUCUGCACGAUAGGCUACCAUGUCCCCCACAUUAUUUUUGUUUCUAAUUUGUUAAGGGUACAAUAUUUCACUAAUUAAAAAGCCAUGUUUGUGUAGUGUGUGUGUAGUAGACAUUCUCCUAAGCACAUAAGUGCAUUGAGUCCUUGAAACUGCCUUAUGACCUUGAGAUUCUUGUUAGUUUUGUUGGGAAAAGAAGGUGUGUAGGUCAGUUAACUUGCAAAUGAUUGGGAUCCGUCGGCCCAGCCCCACCAGUAUUAUAAACUACCAGGCCAGACGCUAAUCAAGAGAGACAAAUAGCAAUGACCAGGUAGCCAGGCCCAUUACUCAUAAAGCUUCUCUCUGCAUUUGCCACAGUUCCACUUCUGUCUCCUCUCCAAUACUGUCCUGGUCUUUGUGAUUUUGAGGCAGGGUCUUGCUGUGUAGCCCAGACUGGCCUUGACCUGGCAAUCUUCCUCUGUCAGCUUCCCAGGUGCCUGUAUUAGAGACAUGGUCACUGGUCACCAAGCCCAGUUGAUUUGGAUUUCUGUUCUUGUAACUAAAUGAGGCUUCCUCCUUGUACUGUGUCUUUACAUUUCCAGGGUGAUCUUUCUUGGUAGCUCAGGUCCUUCCUCAUCGGUGUCUGAGCUCCUUGGUUGUCAUGAAAGACCACAGGAAUACCCCUUUCUACUCUCUUAUGCCAUGGAUGGCUUUAUGACGUUCAGUAAGGAGUCAGACCACCAUUCCCACGGGUCUCGCCAUGUAGUUCUUGCUGUCCUUGAAUUCACUGUUCAGCAGUGACAGGCUGCUUUCAAACUCACAGAAACCCACCUGCCUCUACCUCCCCAAGUACUGGGAUUCAAGGCAAGUUCCAUCACACCAGCUUUUUUUGUUUUGUCUUGUUUUGAUAUGGUUCAUUUUCACUACAAAAAACGUAGAGAUCAACUCUAAAGCUGUUGACCAGAAGGGAGACCUGUCUGGGUUGCAGUUGUGGUCAUACCCUCAAAUAUGGCCUCGAAUGUGGUUCAUUUAGAUGGAGAUGAGAAACCAGAGCUCCCUUCCGAGUCCUUGUGCAUAGAUAGGAAGGGAACUUCUGUGUCAAGAUCAAAAAUACUUCAUUAAUUAUUCUUGGCACAAUCUUUAUAAAAAGUGUUCAUACUUAAAAUAUUCAUUACAUGUAUUUAUUUUGUGUAUGUGUGAAUAUUUGCAAAUGCCUAUGGGUGAAUACGUGACCAGCACAGCAUAUGCAUGUAGUCAAGAGGACAGCCCUUCAGGAAUCGGUUCUCUCCUUCCACCAGGCGGAACCCUGGAACUCGGGUUCUUAGACUCUGCAGCAAGCAUCCUUACUCCCUGAGCCAUCUUACCGUCUCUCCACAACAGUUUUUGGACAGGAUCAGUAUUCCUGCUUUUUGAAACAUUUGAUAAUAGUGACCAGUGACUCUGUCUAGGAAUGGCAUCUCCUUUGUGAGCGGACUGUAAUCACCUAUCAGUUCGUUUACUUGCUUUUGAUCUUUCACACCUUUCUAUUUCUCCCUGAAUCAGUUUUGAUAGUUUAUUGCUUUUCAGGAAUUUGUUAUUUCAUUUAAUUAGUGAGUAAUUCAGAUUUCAAUAAUUUGUGCAUUUUUUCUUUAUUUAUUUAAAUAAAUUUAUUUUUAUUUUUGUGAGACAGUGUCUCGUGUAUCCCAAGCUAUCUGAAACUUCCCUUGAACUUGCUUUGACCUUGAACCCUUUGGUCCUCCUGCCUUAGCUUCCCAGGUGUUGGGUUUGUGUGUGUGUGUGUGUGUGUGUGUGUGUAUGUGCCAGAGAGGGUGUCAGUGUCAGAUCCCCAGUGGGCUGAGUUACAAGUGGUUGUUAGCAGCCUGACACAGGGAUUGGGAACCCAGCUCUUGUUCUUUUGGAAAAGCAGUAUGCACUCUUAACUGUCAAGCUCUCUCCAGCCACAUCUGACACCCAGUUUUAUGAGAUGCUAAAGAUUGAACCCAGGGCUCGGCCUGCUAGCAGAACAUUCCACCGACUGUGUUGCACCUCCAGUUUGUUAAAAGUUCACCACUUUUGUUGUUUUCAAAGAAAGAAAGACUUGCUGGUUUCUUUCUGCACACAAGAACUACAGAUCCAUUUUUCUUACUCUAAGCUUGGAAGCUUUCCACAAAUAAACAGGUCUCAGUUUGUCGUUUGCCUUCUGACCUCUCGGUGCCCUGCACAGAGCUGGUCCUUAGCCCUAAUGCUGACGUGCUGAGUUUGGGGCUUCUGCCUAUGCUCUCUGCUGGUUUUGGGGAGUGGUUGCCAGUCUCCCUCUUCAGUAGUUGCAGUCUCCACAGUACUUUUAGAUAAAAGCUUUGAGCUACUUAAGUAAAAGGUGCUAAAUACAG